rnacentral:rRNA from 1 species
GAUGAACGCUAGCGGCAGGCUUAAUACAUGCAAGUCGUGGGGCAGCAUGAUGCAGCAAUACAUUGAUGGCGACCGGCAAACGGGUGCGGAACACGUACACAACCUUCCUUUUAGUGGGGAAUAGCCCAGAGAAAUUUGGAUUAAUACCCCAUAAGAUAAGAGAUGGCAUCAUCUUAUUAUUAAAGCUUCGGCGCUAGAAGAUGGUUGUGCGGCUGAUUAGGUAGUUGGAGGGGUAACGGCCCACCAAGCCUACGAUCAGUAGCUGAUGUGAGAGCAUGAUCAGCCACACGGGCACUGAGACACGGGCCCGACUCCUACGGGAGGCAGCAGUAAGGAAUAUUGGACAAUGGACGCAAGUCUGAUCCAGCCAUGCCGCGUGAAGGAUUAAGGUCCUCUGGAUUGUAAACUUCUUUUAUUUGGGACGAAAAAAGAUCAUUCUUGAUCACUUGACGGUACCAGAUGAAUAAGCACCGGCUAACUCCGUGCCAGCCGCCGCAGUAAAAC